UACAGAGGUCUCAAGCGUUGUUCGGAUUCAUUGGGCGUAAAGGGUGCGUAGGUGGCGCUGUAAGUCGGGUGUGAAAUUUCGGAGCUUAACUCCGAAACUGCAUUCGAUACUGCGGUGCUUGAGGACUGGAGAGGAGACUGGAAUUCAUGGUGUAGCAGUGAAAUGCGUAGAGAUCAUGAGGAAGACCAGUGGCGAAGGCGGGUCUCUGGACAGUUCCUGACACUGAAUAGCGAAAGCCAGGGGAGCAAACGGG
rnacentral:rRNA from 1 species